GUGUUUGUGAUACAUUCCUGUAGCUCAUUGUCAAGCAGAGAACAUUUCUAGGUAAGUUUGAUGUGUGUGUGUUUGUGAUACGUUCCUAUAGCUCAUUGUCAAGCAGAGAACAUUUCUCGGUUAGUUUGAUGUGAGUGUGUUUGUGAUACGUUCCUUUGGCUCAUUGUCAAGCAGAGAACAUUUCUCGGUAAGUUUGAUGUGUGUGUGUUUGUGAUACGUUCCGAUUUGUCAGCAUUUCUCGGUCCUGUCAGCAGAGAACAUUUCUCGGUUAGUUUGAUGUGAGUGUGUUUGUGAUACGUUCCUUUGGCUCAUUGCCAAACAGAGAACAUUUCUCGGUUAGUUUGCUGUGAACGUGUUUGUGAUACGUUCAUUUGACUCGUUGUCAAGCAGAGAACAUUUCUCUGUUAGUUUAAUGUGAGCGUUCUUGUGAUACGUUCCAUUCACUUAUUCAGGUAUUGUCUAGUAGAGAACACUUUCUCGCUAAGUUUGAUGUGCGUGUGUAUUUUUGUACGUUCCUUUGGCUCACUCUCCAGAAGAGUACAUUCCUCGGCUAGUUUAAUAUGAGGAUAUUUUUGAAACAACGUAUGCUCAUUUAACUCGCUCUCAAAUAGAGCAUAAAUCUCUGGUUAUCUCAAUAUUUUCGUGUUGGCAGAAUUCCAUUUACCAAGAAGAGUACUGUUCUUGGAUAGUUCGAUAUAUGUGAUUGCAUACCACCCGUUACCAUGCAGGCCAGAGGCAGAUUGAAAUGUUUUUAAAAACGAAUUCGUAUUUAACGCUGAUAUAAAUUAGAAAAUUAUCCAUGCACUAGUAUACUAGUUACAAUGUCGCCACUAGAAGAAAGAAUGACCUUAGACUGAUUUUGACUAUUUUUUUUGUCCCUUUUUUCGUCAUAUAUAGAUCUAUAUUUGAGUGUUUCAUUUUAAACAUCAUUUGGCUUUCAAAUAUAUGACUUAGAGCGUUCCUGAUAAAGGUUAAUCCAGAAAAGGCUUGAUUAAGUAAACAUGGUAAAGUCAUACUAGUAGAUGCAUGAGUAUUCUCAGAUUUGUACUUAGUGACUUUUUAUUGUUGAGAUGUACACGUAUACCUAGCCACUUCCACUCUGCAUUUCUAUUCGUAUCCAGGAGUUACGCUUUUUCCAACUGGUAGUUUACAGUUCGCUCUUAUGUUGUACUGUUACAUCACUGUCCCAUGUUAGGUUGGGGGGGGGGGUCCCCACUAACAUGUUUAACCCGCCACAUUCGGUAUGUAUAUUUGCCUGUCACUAGUUAGGACCCUGUUAUCAGUGCUUGUCGUUUGUUGCUGUGUUACAUAUUUGCUUUUCGAACAUAAAUAAGUCCGAGUUUUGUCGUUUGAAUGCGUUUACAUUUGUCAUUUCGCGGCUUUUUAUAGCUGACUAUGCCGUAUGGGCUUUGCUCAUUGUUGAAGGCUGUACAUUGACUUAUGUUUGUUAAUUUCUGUAUCAUUUGGAUUCUUGUGGAAGAGUUGUCCUUUUGGCAAUCACUGCAUACCACACCUUUUUUUUUAUAUAUUGGAACGCUUGAAGUUUAAACAGUGUUGUAUUCAUUUUUUAAGAUAUCAAAUUAGGUAAAUAGGCCUUCGAUACUUAACAAAACCUUAAAAUAUCACAUACUAGUAGGAAGAUGCAAGUCAUAUUAAAAGGCCCAGACAUGACGAUUGUAAUUCAAUUCAAACGAAAAACGACAAUUCGGUAGAUUAGUGAAACGUUUACGCCUUUAGUAACGGCAAUAACUUCCCUGGCCUUUCAGUGCAGUUUAACAAAUAAAAUAAUC
rnacentral:lncRNA from 1 species